CCCUUAGAUGCUCUGGGCCGCACGCGCGCUACACUGGUCGAUGCAACGAGUUUCUUUCCUUGGCCGACAGGCCUGGGCAAUCUUUGAACAUCGAUCGUGAUCGGGAUAGAUUCUUGUAAUUUUUGAUCUUAAACGAGGAAUCCCUAGUAAACGCAAGUCAUCAGCUUGCAUUGAUUACGUCCCUGCCCUUUGUACACACCGCCCGUCGCACCUACCGAUUGAAUGGUCCGGUGAAAUCUCCGGACUGGCGUGAGUCGGAGCAAUCUGACAAACACCGGAAAGUUGAUUAAACCUUACCAUUUAGAGGAAGGUGAAGUCGUAACA
rnacentral:rRNA from 1 species